rnacentral:rRNA from 1 species
CACGUAGGGUGCGAGCGUUGUCCGGAAUUAUUGGGCGUAAAGAGCUCGUAGGCGGUGUGUCGCGUCGGCCGUGAAAACCUGCAGCUUAACUGUGGGCGUGCGGUCGAUACGGGCAUCACUGGAGUUCGGCAGGGGAGACUGGAAUUCCUGGUGUAGCGGUGAAAUGCGCAGAUAUCAGGAGGAACACCGGUGGCGAAGGCGGUUCUCUGGGCAUUACCUGACGCUGAGGAGCGAAAGUGUGGGAGGCGAACAGG